CCUACGGGAGACUGCAGUGGGGAAUAUUGGACAAUGGGGGAAACCCUGAUCCAGCGACGCCGCGUGAGUGAAGAAGUAUUUCGGUACGUAAAGCUCUAUCAGCAGGAAAGAAAAUGACGGUACCUGACUAAGAAGCCCCGGCUAACUACGUGCCAGCAGCCGCGGUAAUACGUAGGGGGCAAGCGCUAUCCGGAUUUACUGGGUGUAAAGGGGGCGUAGACGGCAGCGCAGGUCUGGAGUGAAAUGCCGGGGCCCAACCCCGGAACUGCUCUGGAAACUGUGAAGCUGGAGUGCAGGAGAGGUGAGCGGAAUUCCUGGUGUAGCGGUGAAAUGCGUAGAUAUCAGGAGGAACACCGGCGGCGAAGGCGGCUUACUGGCCUGUAACUGACGUUGAGGCUCGAAGGCGUGGGGAGCAAACAGGAUUAGAUACCCUUGUAGUC
rnacentral:rRNA from 1 species